rnacentral:rRNA from 1 species
GGCGGCGUGCUUAACACAUGCAAGUCGAACGAAAAAGAGGGGAAGAGCUUGCUCUUUUCAGAAUUGAGUGGCAAACGGGUGAGUAACACGUAAACAACCUGCCUUCAGGAUGGGGACAACAGACGGAAACGACUGCUAAUACCGAAUAAGUUCCAAGAGCCGCAUGGCCCAUGGAAGAAAAGGUGGCCUCUACCUGUAAGCUAUCGCCUGAAGAGGGGUUUGCGUCUGAUUAGCUGGUUGGAGGGGUAACGGCCCACCAAGGCGACGAUCAGUAGCCGGUCUGAGAGGAUGAACGGCCACACUGGAACUGAGACACGGUCCAGACUCCUACGGGAGGCAGCAGUGGGGAAUCUUCCGCAAUGGGCGAAAGCCUGACGGAGCAACGCCGCGUGAGUGAUGACGGCCUUCGGGUUGUAAAACUCUGUGAUCCGGGACGAAAAGGCAGAGUGCGAAGAACAAACUGCAUUGACGGUACCGGAAAAGCAAGCCACGGCUAACUACGUG